rnacentral:rRNA from 1 species
UACGAAGGGGGCUAGCGUUGUUCGGAUUUACUGGGCGUAAAGGGCGCGUAGGCGGUGUACACAGUCAGGCGUGAAAUUCCCGGGCUCAACCUGGGGACUGCGCUUGAUACAUGUGCGCUUGAGUUCGGAAGAGGGUCGUGGAAUUCCCAGUGUAGAGGUGAAAUUCGUAGAUAUCUGGAGGAACACCGGUGGCGAAGGCGGCAUCCUGGACCGAUAUUGACGCUGAUGCGCGAAAGCCAGGGGAGCAAACGGG